rnacentral:rRNA from 1 species
CUACGUGCCAGCAGCCGCGGUAAUACGUAGGUGGCAAGCGUUGUCCGGAUUUAUUGGGCGUAAAGCGAGCGCAGGCGGUUCCUUAAGUCUGAUGUGAAAGCCCCCGGCUCAACCGGGGAGGGUCAUUGGAAACUGGGGAACUUGAGUGCAGAAGAGGAGAGUGGAAUUCCAUGUGUAGCGGUGAAAUGCGUAGAUAUAUGGAGGAACACCAGUGGCGAAGGCGACUCUCUGGUCUGUAACUGACGCUGAGGCUCGAAAGCGUGGGUAGCAAACAGGAUUAGAUACCCUGGUAGUCCACGCCGUAAACGAUGAGUGCUAAGUGUUGGAGGGUUUCCGCCCUUCAGUGCUGCAGUUAACGCAUUAAGCACUCCGCCUGGGGAGUACGACCGCAAGGUUGAAACUCAAAGGAAUUGACGGGGACCCGCACAAGCGGUGGAGCAUGUGGUUUAAUUCGACGCAACGCGAAGAACCUUACCAAAUCUUGACAUAC